AUUGAACGCUGGCGGCAGGCCUAACACAUGCAAGUCGAGCGAGCGGCGGACGGGUGAGUAAUGUAUGGGGAACUGCCUGAUAGAGGGGGAUAACUACUGGAAACGGUGGCUAAUACCGCAUACUAUCGGAUGUGCCCACAUGGGAUUAGCUAGUAGGUGGGGUAAAGGCUCACCUAGGCGACGAUCCCUAGCUGGUCUGAGAGGAUGAUCAGCCACACUGGAACUUAGACACGGCCCAGACUCCUACGGGAGGCAGCAGUGGGGAAUAUUGCACAAUGGGCGCAAGCCUGAUGCAGCCAUGCCGCGUGUAUGAAGAAGGCCUUCGGGUUGUAAAGUACUUUCAGCGGGGAGGCGUUACCCGCAGAAGAAGCACCGGCUAACUCCGUGCCAGCAGCCGCGGUAAUUC
rnacentral:rRNA from 1 species